UACAGAGGUGGCAAGCGUUGUUCGGAAUUACUGGGCGUAAAGGGCGCGUAGGCGGCCUUCUUAGUCGGACGUGAAAUCCCCGGGCUUAACUCGGGAACUGCGUGUGAUACUGGAUGGCUUGGAUUUGGGAGAGGGAUGCGGAAUUCCAGGUGUAGCGGUGAAAUGCGUAGAUAUCUGGAGGAACACCGGUGGCGAAGGCGGCAUCCUGGACCAAUAUUGACGCUGAGGAGCGAAAGCUAGGGGAGCAAACGGG
rnacentral:rRNA from 1 species